ensembl:lncRNA
GCUUUAGUGAACAAAACAUUGUUUCUAUUGGUCCCAUUUUAAAAAGAAUAGUUCUGUCUAUUUUUUUACUCAGUAGAGUCUGCCACAGCCCUGACGGUGGCGCACUUGGGAAAACACCGAGAUUAUAACAAAGAAACCCAUCCGAAUCCACCUGGUGCCAGCCGACCCGACGCCCGCCACGAUCGCUUCAUUUCUUACGUUAGUCCCCGGUUCGGCCCAAUGGAAAGAGAAACGACGCGGUUCUGUGGUGCUGGAUCGCAACGAAUCCCACAGCGGCAAAUUGCUCCAACAGAUGGAGUAAAGGAAGCCACAACAGACUGCGCGGAGCUGGACAGGACAUUCAUACUGCCUCAGAAUGUAAGGAAGCUGUGAAAAAGGCGUCCGUCCGGGUCACAGCGAUCUGCAUGGCGGGUUUCAAAAAGGCGAGGAGGGAGGAACUCCCUCGACGAAUGUGAGGUCGAGCCAACGCUCCUCAGCACAAACGAGCUACCAAUCAGCGAGGGUUCCCCCGUCCACGCCAGGGAUGCAUGUCAGACAUACAGAGCGCAACCUAUUGACAUAUUUGUUUUCAAAAUUACAUGAAGCCUGAACAUCGGCACGGCCGAGGUUUUGUUUUUUUCCCACAACGCGGGAGGAGAAGGAUCGAUGGGCCGGCUUGUUUUAAUCAAGGCCUUCAGCUCCGAGUGUAGAAACAUGUUUCACAGCCAGCGAGUGAUUUUACCACAAAUAUCGGGCCAGCUCCUCACUCCGCUUCUCCCCAUCGUUUCAGAAAAAUCACGUACUGUGCGCUUACUCUAAAGCGGAGGGCUCUGACUCUCCUCUCGAGUCAUGUUUUUACUUUUCUAUUCACAAGAGCUAAGGCACUGUCGCUGUCUGUGCGUGUCAAUACAAAGAAAGAAUUCCCAACUCUCCCAUUGGGCCCCCGGCUGGAUGGAGACCGGCUGCGUGACGCCGAUCGGCCGCUUCAUUUGCUUAGUUCGCCUCCGGCGCCGCGAGCAAUUAUGGAAAAAAUAGAUCCUUUGUUCCCAGAGAGUCGAUUAAGAAUGAAAUAUAUAGAUAUAAAUAAUACAUAUAAAUAUAUAUAUAUAUACACAAAAAUAUCAUAGUUUCUAGCGUAGAGGGGGUUGUGUACGAUUUUUUUUUUCUCGUGGGGGGGGAGUCACAUGUGGGCACACACUGGUCUGUUCAUCGAAGCUGACUUACAAUCACAAUCCAUACCUACCAUGAAGGAAACCUGACUCGAGUUGUGUUGUCGCCAUAAAAAUGAAGAGUUUGUACUUUGUGACUCUUAAACUUUUUAUAUUUGUGUUUAAUAUAUCAAUGAGUACCUCUGUUGACUUUUGUAUAAGACCUAUAGUAUAUACAAACACACAUACACACACAACACACCUCCACAAGUCUGUCUCUGUGACGGCUAAAUGUUGUGUGACUUUUAUUUUUGUGUCUUAUGAACCACAUCUCUUCCUUUUGUAGUUAUUGGUAAACGUUUCGAUUUCCAGGUGACUAUGAUUUGGUUACUCUUGUACUACUAAGCUCUGUAUUUGCAAGCACUGUAAAUGCGAUUCUCAUUGGAUUCGUCCUCUGUACAUUUAGU